rnacentral:rRNA from 1 species
UACGGAGGGUGCAAGCGUUAUCCGGAUUCACUGGGUUUAAAGGGUGCGUAGGCGGACAGGAAAGUCCGUGGUGAAAUCCUGCAGCUUAACUGCAGAACUGCCGUGGAUACUCUCUGUCUUGAAUAUCGUGGAGGUGAGCGGAAUAUGUCAUGUAGCGGUGAAAUGCAUAGAGAUGACAUAGAACACCGAUUGCGAAGGCAGCUCACUACGCGAAGAUUGACGCUGAGGCACGAAAGCGUGGGGAUCAAACAGG